rnacentral:lncRNA from 1 species
UUAAGGCAAACGCGUGAACAAACAACAAUCAACAUGCAGAACUCAUAUAUAUGUAGGCUCAGAGCACUGCACCUGUUCAGUAUUUUGAAAUAUUAAAGUGACCAUGCUUCUGACAAAAAUCACAAUUCUAAAUUGAGCCUUAGCAAUACAUUUCUGUCAAAGCAAGUCCACAGAGAUAAAGCCCUGUUAUAGAGGAGAGCCUUUAUAGAAAUGCUCUGGGCUGGAUUCAUUUUAUUUCAAUAUAUUCUACUUUUUAACAAAGAAUAUUGCCUUACCUCUCUUUUUCUCCAGGAAACUUGUCUGCUAACUCGGUUUGGCCCUUCUCCGUCAGAGUGACGAAAUAUCUUUGCUUUAGUGAGAAAGCCUGCAAUUCAUUCUAUUAAAAUAAAAAGAAAUAAUGGAAAGAAAGCUUAUAAGGCAGAACAACUCUACAGAAGCAUGAUAAUAAACACUGAUGUGAACAACAAACAAUUACCUAUAAUUGUGGUGGCCUAUUAUAAACAGAAAGAACAUUUCACUAGUAUAAAAUGGGAGAAAGAUGUUUAUAUUUUUAAAGUAAGUUGAAUUAAUUUUUGUUCUGAUGAUGACACUAUAUACAUUAGGCCUUCAAGGUACUAGGAUGAUCAGAAAUUGGGGGCUCUCAAUGAUCAUUAUUGUCAUUUUCCCUUUGAACCACCAGAAGGAAAAGUCGAAAGAGGUUUGGCAGGUGCCAGACUCAAGAAGUCACAGAAGACAGAUUCCCCAGGCAGCCUUAUUUAGGAUGCUCUUGAAUGAGGCCGUCCUCAAAUACUACUAAUGCUUUCUGCCAGCGUUUUAACCUGCUUCUCGUGGACGCAAUUUGCACGUGACUUCCUGGCUUUUGGACAGAAUCCACAGGCCUGCACCACCUCUAUGCAGUCCCAGAGAUUUCAUAGAAUCUGUCUUCAGGCCAUUUGGCCCUGGAGAGAAAACUCUGACAUUCAGUGUGACCACACUCAGCCUGAUAGAGAGGGGCUCUCGCUACAGACACCAUACACAGCUACUACCAGGAUGUAUAUUAUACACACACGGCCUGUAUCCACACACACUUACAAGGUUUCGUCCCACAGUUCUGGUGUUCUAGGACACAAGGCACCCACCUUCCUGCAGAAGAUUUCUGGUUUCCGUAUUUUACCUUUUGCAGUAGAUCGGAGUGCCCGGCUUUCUAACCAUGGAUUUCUGUGUUGCUGGAAAGCUUAGACCAGACAUGAAGCAGAUGCUUCUUCGACUCAAGUCCGCAAGUGCAGUUCCUGGGGAAAGGGGGACAAAACUCUCUCAAGACACAGAGCGGGUUGUCAUACAGGAUGUAAGGACUGAAAAGUAGCACAGGACCCAGGAGUUCUUAGUUUGUGUUUGCUUUUUGCAACUAAAAAAAAGCUUUCUCUCCCAAAGCGUUUGGCUUCUCCUCUUUCACCCUCAGCCCACCUGCCUGUCCCCUUUGUUCGACACUCUCGAACCUAAAACAAAAGAUCCUGCAAAACACUGGUGGGCAGAGCUCUUUCUAAAUCCUGAAAGUAAUGGCUUUUUGUCUACACCCUAUCGUGUUGUGUGUUUAUUAGCAAUACAUUUUCCAUUUAUUUUCUCAAAGAUUGCCAAUAAAGAACUGAAUCACAUAAGGGAGUAGCUGUAAACCCUCUGAGUUCCCUAAUGUCAAGCUCAUUAGCAUCCGAAUACGCACACAGCAGCACAUCAUCUGCACAAUUGCAAUUUUUUACUACUUUUAAUAGCGUUUCUCAAAGGGCUCAUUUUCAACUUUCUUCAGUGGUUAGUUGGUUCUCAGGGGAAAAGUCGCUUCCUGACGCUGGCGGCUUCCACUCCACAACCCGGCCGUUGGCUGUCAGAUGCGUCAGCCCUCUGCCCUAACCCCAUCUGCUGUCUCCCCCUCCCUGGGGAGGAGAGUUAAGGCAGCACAGCUGAGAUCCACGCGGAGCCCUGCACAGGGGCGCCGUCGAAAUGCAAGUUUAGAAAUAUGCUGUGACACAGGAGGACCGGGAAGUCCAAGGGCCCAGGACGUGGAUGCUCACCGUUGCUCCAUCGUCUACCCCGCCCGCCACUCUUGCUUUUUUCAAACACACUCCUGGCUGAUCCCCAGAGGCAUCUUCCACUGAAAUCGGUUCCCUCCGUUCCCUGCAUGUAUCCUGUUACUGCAUCAAGGAGACAGCUUUAAAAUGCCCUUUUAUUUACUGCCAUACUUGAAUCGCUUUGUCGAUCUUAAACCGUGUUAUACACCUUAAGAUCUUACUAAAUUCUUCAUGGAGAAGACACAUUUUGGAAGACACGAAUUAACCUACGACUUGGAGUCUUUUUUCUUUUUUUUUUGUCUUUUUGCCUUUUCUAGGGCCGCUCCCGCAGCACAUGGAGGUUCCUCAGAAGACUAAAUAUAGAACUACCAUAUGAUCCAGCAAUCCCAUCCCUGGGCAUAUAUGGAUAAAACUAUAAUUCAAAAGAUGCAUGCGUCCCUAUGUUCACUGCAGCAUUAUUCACAAUAGCCAAGACAUAGAAGCUACCUAAAUGUCCAUCAACAGAUGAAUGGAUUAAGAAGAUGUGGUAUAUAUACACAAUGGAAUACUACUCAGCCACAAAAAAGAAUGAAAUAAUGCCAUUCCCAGCAGCAUGGAUGCAAAUAGAGAUUCUCACACUAAGUGAAGUAAGUCAGAAAGAGAAGGACAAAUACCAUAUGACAUCACUUAUAUGUGGAAUCUAAAAUAUGGUACAUGGGAGUUCCCAUUGUGGCACAGCAGGUUAAGGAACUGAUGUUGUCUCUGCGAGGAUGUGGGUUUGAUCCCAGUCUUCGCUCAGUGGGGUAAGGAUCCACAGCAUUGCUGCAAGCUGUGGCUUAGGUCACAGAUGCUGCUCAGAUCCGGUGUUGCUGUGGUGGUGGUAUAGACCACAGCAACAGCUCCGAUUUGACCUCUAGCCUAGGAACUUUCAUAUGCUGCAGGUGUGGCCAUAAAAAUAAAAUAAAUAAAUAAAUAAGGCACAAAUGAACCUCUCUUCAAAACAGAAACAGACUCGCAGAUAUAGAGACCAUACUUGUGGUUGCCAAGGGGGAGGAGCAGGGAGUGGAUAGAUGGGGAGUUUGCAAUUCGUAGAUGCAAACUAUUACAUUUCAAAUGGAUAGACGACAAGGUCCUACUACAUAGCACAGAGAACUGAUGGAAAAGAGUAUAAAAAAGAAUGUUUUUUUUUUUGUCUUUUUGCCAUUUCUUGGGCCGUUCCCGUGGCGUAUGGAGGUUCCCAGGCUAGGGGUCUAAUCGGAGCUGUAGCCACCAGCCUAUGCCAGAGCCACAGCAACACAGGAUCCGAGCCACUUCUGCAACCUACACCACAGCUCACGGAAACACCGGAUUGUUAACCUGCUGAGCAAGGCCAGGGAUUGAACCCGCAACCUCAUGGUUCCCAGUCGGAUUUGCUAACCACUG